UACGUAGGAUCCAAGCGUUGUCCGGAAUUACUGGGUGUAAAGGGUGCGCAGGCGGGCUUGUGCGUCAGAGGUUAAAUACCCCGGCUUAACCGGGGAAAUGCCUUUGAUACGGCAAGCCUUGAGUGCGAGAGAGGAUGGUAGAAUUCCUGGUGUAGCGGUGAAAUGCGUAGAUAUCAGGAGGAAUACCAGUGGCGAAGGCGGCCAUCUGGCUCGCAACUGACGCUCAUGCACGAAAGCGUGGGGAG
rnacentral:rRNA from 1 species